rnacentral:lncRNA from 1 species
CCCGGAGACCCUAGCGUCCCUGGCUCGAAACCAGGGUGAGCUUCGGGCCCGCUAGUGGUACCUCAAGGCGGGCAGAAAGCCCAUGAGGGGAAGGUGAGGCACCUGGGGCAGAGAAAAAAAACAACAAAAAACCUCGCCGCGGUGAGGUUUGAGGGAGGAGCGGUGAGGCACCUGUGGCAGAAAAAAAAAACGCCCCACGGAG